GCCGUCACCGACGGUCGGCAGGCGAUCCGCGUCGGUCGUGCGAGGGGGUAUGGUUCCCCAAAGGCCGGUUUUUGGGCUGCCUACCCCUUCAGGGAAACGGUGCCCUUGUUGUUAACCCCCCUCCCGGGCCUUUCCAGGGGGGGCAGGAGGACACCCAAGAACCCCCCGCGUUCUCCCGAGCCUUCUCGGUCGCGUGGCCCGCGGGGGACGUGCGAUGCUUUCGGACCCAGGGAACCCCGUGGGCGAGGACUCACGUCCCAGUCCCGAAAGAAGACUCCGAUAUAAUGCUGACGGCCGCUCCCGCCCCCCGACCGCCCCGGCGGCGCGGGGGCGAGGCGCGGCGUCGCGGAGGAAUGCUACCU
rnacentral:misc_RNA from 1 species